rnacentral:sRNA from 1 species
AGGUUCGAGCCGAGCGAAGCGAGACAGCAACGCGUUAGCGUUGACCCCGAAGGGGCGAGGCCAAAGGCCGAGUCAUCCUGCACGACCCACCA